GCCUGGGUGGCUCAGUCGGUUGAGCAUCCGACUUCGGCUCAGGUCAUGAUCUCACAGUUUGUGAGUUCGAGCCUCACGUCGGGCU
rnacentral:tRNA from 1 species